AGCUGUCAGCGGGUAACUUCUAACUGAAUAGCUUGGACCGGCGGGAACCCAGACGGGUCACCCCCAAAUUGAUUGGUAUUCUUAGCAGAGAAGGUAACCGGAAAUUGAGUAGAAGAUUGAUUGAAAACGACUCGUGGACUCCCUUCUCUGCUCAAUAUUACUUGUAGUCUUAUUUAUUCAUUUAUUUAUUAUCAACGUUUCUUGCACUACUUAAGUUAUCACACACAGUACCAGAAGUUUCUUCGGAAAUCUCUAAUCAAUAAAUCCAUUUUUCUGUGUGAUUUUCACUGCAAUUCAUUGUUUGAGUUCAACAAUUAAAGAAUCGUGCCAAUUGCUGUUGAAUUAUAGCAUGAAUUAAACCGGAAAUUAUCGGAGAGAGAAUCAAGAUAUGAUGAUAAAUUUUCAAGGUCUUUCAAAGCAGAAAUCUCCCCAGGUUCUGUUUGAAGACGCAUUUCCGGCGGCUGAUCCUGGCACAUUGGAGCAAUUAAAAGAGUUGAGCUGCAGAAGGAGAGCUAUCGAAUCCAUCAACCAAAAUAGCUUUGUGACAGAGGCUAUUGCCAGGGAAAUGUCUGGGGGAUUGACUUCUCGAUGUGAACAGAAUAUACAGAAGGUGGAACAGUAUUUACCAAUUUUGGGAAACCUGAUACACCAUGUAAAUCUAGUUGGUGACAACCCCAAGAUGGUUCGAUGGAUUUCUGACCUAAAGAUUAGGUGGAGCAGUGCUCUCACUUCAUCAUCCUUUUUUCAACUUAACGGUCCAAAACUUUAUCAGAUGGAUAAUUUGCAUUCUGAACUUGCAAUGACACUUUUCGUUCUUGGUGCAUUGUUUCGAGAUCGAGCUCUUGAAGUUCUGUCAACAGAUUUAGUGCAAUCAGCCUCCUUUCUCAGAAAAGCUGCAGGAGUUUACCAUCAUAUAGCUCAGGAUGUCCUUCCCUGUUUACAGCCUGCAUCGGCACAAGAAAGGCCACCAGAAGCUGUAAUCAGUGUUUCUGCUGCAAUCGCCCUUGUUUGCUUAGCUGAGGCACAGGCUGUGAGUGUGAGGAAGGCAGAGCAAAAAGGGAAUACUGGAGGACUCUUGGCGAAGCUGCACUAUGGUGUUUGUAAAUUUCUUGAAGAAGCUAUGCAUACCUUGCAUUCAGCCACCAAGCAGUGCAAAGACAUUUCAUCUUGCUUAAUGGAUUAUAUUACAACUUCUAACAUGUUACAUGAGCUACUCAGUUACAAAUAUCUUGCGGAGAGUCUUAAGAUUGAGGGGCAAAUAGGUUUUGCUAUUGGAGUUCUUCGGCAUGUGAUACAAAAUGCAGAAAAGCAUAUACCAAGAGAAAAGUCAUGGAGACUAGUUCAUAAGCAAUUGAUCGAUGACUUGACUGGACGGCUCCAGAAGUAUGAACACGAAAAUGAGUUUGUCUGGCAUGAAAAGAUUCCCAUGCACGACGAACUGCCUGUACCUCAAGGUGUCACGAUUGUUAGUCCCAUACCUUAUCAGCCACAAAGGUGGGAAAGAACACUUGUUUUCAAAAUCUAAACCUACAAUCCCUGUAUAGCAGUUCUUUUGUUGGGAGCAGGACUACUAUGCAUAACCUUUGUAGGCGUCCUUCGUCAUUUGAGUGUCUCGAAAAGGAAAGUACGUGUCGUCACCCAGUGAAUCAAAAGAGAGGAAAGAGGAGGAGAAAAUAACUCUACUAUCGGCAUUGGCCAUCUGCGAAGAGGAUGUCAGUGAUUGGAGUUAUGGCGACGACCUAAGUUGGGGAUGAGGGAUAAGCCGAUGGUUGAAUACAAAUACAAGUGUAAAGUUAAAUAUUUACAAAUAUUUUAUGAAUUUCUUAAUAUAAAUUCAAGGUCUACCAAGAGUUACUGGGUUCCGAAAAUCCAUAUUGAAUGCUCUAGGUUUGCCCCUGAUGGUUGGGGUGAAUGUGGUAAAGAGAGAGAGAUUAGGGUUAGGUGGUAAAGAGCUAGAGAUAAAACUAGGAGCCUGAUAUCAAGGAAUUCCUUGUUUCUCUAAUUUGCUAUGUUUUGGGAAGUGUUGUUACGUUGAGUAAUUAGUUGAAAGUGUCAUUAAAACUAGUAAUUAGGGGUCUUUAUUUGUCAUAUAGUGUAAAAGUUUCUUCAAUAUUGUAUAGUUGAACUGUGGAAAAUAAAAAAUAAAAAAAAAA